AAUCCAUAGGUUAAUGAGGCGAACCGGGGGAACUGAAACAUCUAAGUACCCCGAGGAAAAGAAAUCAACCGAGAUUCCCCCAGUAGCGGCGAGCGAACGGGGAGGAGCCCAGAGCCUGAAUCAGCAUGUGUGUUAGUGGAAGCGUCUGGAAAGGCGCGCGAUACAGGGUGACAGCCCCGUACACAAAAGCGCAUGUGCUGUGAGCUCGAUGAGUAGGGCGGGACACGUGGUAUCCUGUCUGAAUAUGGGGGGACCAUCCUCCAAGGCUAAAUACUCCUGACUGACCGAUAGUGAACCAGUACCGUGAGGGAAAGGCGAAAAGAACCCCGGCGAGGGGAGUGAAAAAGAACCUGAAACCGUGUACGUACAAGCAGUGGGAGCACCCUUCGGGGUGUGACUGCGUACCUUUUGUAUAAUGGGUCAGCGACUUAUAUUCUGUAGCAAGGUUAACCGUAUAGGGGAGCCGGAGGGAAACCGAGUCUUAAUUGGGCGUUAAGUUGCAGGGUAUAGACCCGAAACCCGGUGAUCUAGCCAUGGGCAGGUUGAAGGUUGGGUAACACUAACUGGAGGACCGAACCGACUAAUGUUGAAAAAUUAGCGGAUGACCUGUGGCUGGGGGUGAAAGGCCAAUCAAACCGGGAGAUAGCUGGUUCUCCCCGAAAGCUAUUUAGGUAGCGCCUCGUGAAUUCAUCUCCGGGGGUAGAGCACUGUUUCGGCUAGGGGGCCAUCCCGGCUUACCAACCCGAUGCAAACUGCGAAUACCGGAGAAUGUUAUCACGGGAGACACACGGCGGGUGCUAACGUCCGUCGUGAAGAGGGAAACAACCCAGACCGCCAGCUAAGGUCCCAAAGUCAUGGUUAAGUGGGAAACGAUGUGGGAAGGCCCAGACAGCCAGGAUGUUGGCUUAGAAGCAGCCAUCAUUUAAAGAAAGCGUAAUAGCUCACUGGUCGAGUCGGCCUGCGCGGAAGAUGUAACGGGGCUAAACCAUGCA
rnacentral:rRNA from 1 species